rnacentral:rRNA from 1 species
UACAGGGGGUGCAAACGUUGCUCGGAAUCAUUGGGCGUAAAGAGCUCGUAGGCGGUCUGUCGCGUCGGCUGUGAAAACCCGGAGCUCAACUCCGGGCCUGCAGUCGAUACGGGCAGACUGGAGUUCGGCAGGGGAGACUGGAAUUCCUGGUGUAGCGGUGAAAUGCGCAGAUAUCAGGAGGAACACCGGUGGCGAAGGCGGGUCUCUGGGCCGAUACUGACGCUGAGGAGCGAAAGCGUGGGGAGCGAACAGG